rnacentral:rRNA from 1 species
CAGUGCCGCGGUAAUACGUAGGUGGCAAGCGUUGUCCGGAAUUAUUGGGCGUAAAGGGCUCGCAGGCGGUUUCUUAAGUCUGAUGUGAAAGCCCCCGGCUCAACCGGGGAGGGUCAUUGGAAACUGGGAAACUUGAGUGCAGAAGAGGAGAGUGGAAUUCCACGUGUAGCGGUGAAAUGCGUAGAGAUGUGGAGGAACACCAGUGGCGAAGGCGACUCUCUGGUCUGUAACUGACGCUGAGGAGCGAAAGCGUGGGGAGCGAACAGGAUUAGAUACCCCAGUAGUCCCUGUCUCUUAUACA